UACGUAGGUGGCAAGCGUCGUCCGGAAUUAUUGGGCGUAAAGCGCGCGUAGGCGGCUGUCUAAGUCGGGUGUGAAAGCCCCGGGCUCAACCUGGGAACUGCAUUCGAUACUGGACGGCUAGAGUAUGAGAGAGGGAGGUAGAAUUCCACGUGUAGCGGUGAAAUGCGUAGAUAUGUGGAGGAAUACCGGUGGCGAAGGCGGCCUCCUGGUUCAAUACUGACGCUGAGGUGCGAAAGCGUGGGGAGCAAACAGG
rnacentral:rRNA from 1 species